rnacentral:rRNA from 1 species
GACAUAGGUUGCAAACGUUAUCCGGAAUUAUUGGGCGUAAAGGAUGCGUAGAUGGUGUAAUAAGUUAUUGGUGGCAAAUCAGGGCUUAACCUUGUGGAAGCUAGUAAUACUGUUAUGCUUGAGUACAGGAGAGGUUAACGGAACUCUAUGUGGAGCGGUAAAAUGUGACGAUAUAUAGAAGAACACCAAGAGGCGAAAGCAGUUAACUAUUCUGUUACUGACAUUGAGGCAUGAAAGCGUGGGGAGCAAAACGG